rnacentral:rRNA from 1 species
GGCGUUGGUUGUCCAGGUGAAAGGAUGUAGGCAUGUAUCUUAGGCAAAUCCGGGGUACUCUAUGCUGAGAUCUGAUAGCAAGCUGUACUUGUACAGCGAAGUGGUUGAUGCCAUGCUUCCAGGAAAAGUCUCUAAGCUUCAGUUACACAGGAAUCGUACCCGAAACCGACACAGGUGGUCAGGUCGAGUAGACCAAGGCGCUUGAGAGAACUCUGCUGAAGGAACUAGGCAAAAUGGUACCGUAACUUCGGGAGAAGGUACGCUGUUGUUGGUGAUGGAACUCGCUUCCUGAGCUGACGACAGCCGCAGAAACCAGGCCGCUGCAACUGUUUAUUAAAAACAUAGCACUCUGCAAACACGAAAGUGGACGUAUAGGGUGUGAUGCCUGCCCGGUGCUGGAAGGUUAAUUGAUGGGGUUAGCGUAAGCGAAGCUCUUGAUCGAAGCCCCAGUAAACGGCGGCCGUAACUAUAACGGUCCUAAGGUAGCGAAAUUCCUUGUCGGGUAAGUUCCGACCUGCACGAAUGGCAUAAUGAUGGCGGCGCUGUCUCCAGCAGAGGCUCAGUGAAAUCGAAAUCGCUGUGAAGAUGCAGUGUACCCGCGGCUAGACGGAAAGACCCCGUGAACCUUUACUGCAGCUUGACACUGAACUUUGACCUUACUUGUGUAGGAUAGGUGGGAGGCUUUGAAGCUGGAACGCUAGUUCCAGUGGAGCCGUCCUUGAAAUACCACCCUGGUAAUGUUGAGGUUCUAACUCUGUCCCGUGAUCCGGGACGAGGACCGUGUCUGGUGGGUAGUUUGACUGGGGCGGUCUCCUCCUAAAGAGUAACGGAGGAGUACGAAGGUGCGCUCAGCGUGGUCGGAAAUCACGCGUAGAGUAUAAAGGCAAAAGCGCGCUUAACUGCGAGACCCACAAGUCGAGCAGGUACGAAAGUAGGUCUUAGUGAUCCGGUGGUUCUGUAUGGAAGGGCCAUCGCUCAACGGAUAAAAGGUACUCUGGGGAUAACAGGCUGAUACCGCCCAAGAGUUCAUAUCGACGGCGGUGUUUGGCACCUCGAUGUCGGCUCAUCUCAUCCUGGGGCUGAAGCAGGUCCCAAGGGUAUGGCUGUUCGCCAUUUAAAGAGGUACGCGAGCUGGGUUUAGAACGUCGUGAGACAGUUCGGUCCCUAUCUACCGUGGGCGCUGGAAAUUUGAGAGGAUCUGCUCCUAGUACGAGAGGACCAGAGUGGACGAACCUCUGGUGUACCGGUUGUGACGCCAGUC